AGCUCCAUCUGCCAUUUCCCUGAUCCUCUCGACCCCUCCUAUGCUUCCUGGGCGAUCCCUGCCGCCGCCGAUCACUGCGGCCGCGGAGCACCUGCAGCCGUUCCCCUGCCGCUGCCGAACACCUUCCACUGCGGCAACCCAUCCGCGGAGCCCCUGCAGCGACGGCACCCACGGCCGGACACCUCUGCCACGCGUGGACCAGUGGCCUGCGACGGAGGUGUAUUCGGAGCACCUUUAGCCAUUUCCCUGCCACGCCGAACACCUUCCGGUGCGGCACUCCUUCCCCGGAACCCCUGCAGCACCGGCGCCCACGGCCGGAUACAUGUGUCGCGCGCUGACCACCGGCAUGCGACGGAUGCGGAUUCGUAGGCCUCGUGAACGCUAACUUCGGCAGGUAAAACCCCGCGUCGGCGUUGCCCCUGCACCCACCACCACCUUCGCGCCGGUGGUCUCCACCUGACAGUGAAGAGCACUUCAAUCACAUCUAAGACAUGGGCGAUGAGUCUACGAGUGAGUACUAUGACAUCGUCAGCAAGAGUUUUGCUAGUGACGAUGAUGCCGUUGAGUUCUAUAACAGCUAUGCUCUUGAGAAAGGUUUUAGUGUGCGCAAAAGCUAUGUUGAGUGGGAUGAAGCCAACCAGGAGAUAAUUCUGAGGAAACUUGUCUGUAGUCAUCAAGGUUCACGAUAAGAGAAGCACAUGAAGAGAGAAGAUAGGAAGAGGAGGCCACGACAUCUCACUCGUGUUGGGUGUUGAGCCAAAUUGGUCAUUGCAAAACUCAAGGAAACAUGUCGGUGCUUUGUGAAGGAUUUCAUCAAUGAACACACCCAUCCUCUGUCCCCACCACAUCUUGCUUGUCUGCUGCGUUCUCAUAGAAGAAUCAGCGACGAGCAGAAAGAGGACAUUGUAGAGAUGGAAAUAUCUGGGAUCCGCAAACACAAAAUCAUGGAUAUCUUGACGAUACAGUACGAUGGAUAUGAUGAAGUUGGACACACCACAAGGGACAUCUAUAAUUUCUGCAAUCAAUAUAAGCAGGAAAUAGUUGCUGCCGGUGAUGCCAAAACGGUGAUUAAUCACAUGAUGGCACGACAGGAGAGAGAUCCAUAUUUUUUCUUCAAGUACUUGGUUGACCGAGAGGGUCAUUUGAAGAGAUUGUUCUGUGCUCAUAGUCAAUCCCGACGUGACUACGAGGAUUUUGUCGAUGUUGUUGUUUUUGAUAUCACGUACAAGACUAAUAAGUAGAAACUGCCAUUUGUGCCUUUUGUUGGGCUGAAUCACCACCGCAGCACUGUUAUUUUUGGAUGUGGUAUUAUCUCUCACGAAACAAGCGAGGCAUACGAGUGGAUGCUCCAGAACUUUUCUAAAGCAAUGGCCAAUAAGCACCCGAUAUCCGUGAUCACUGAUGGGGACCUGGCAAUGCAGAGGGCAAUCAAAGUGGUCUGGUCUGACACGGUUCAUAAACUGUGUGUAUGGCACAUUCAAGAGAACAUUGUACGUCAUCUGAGUGAUGACGCGGUGAAGGAAGAAUUCAGAUCUUUCAUAUAUUAUCGUUCUUCCAUACAAGAGCAUGAGAGCAAAUGGGUAGAUUUCUUAGAAAGGAAUAAAGUAACAAGUGAGGAGUCGUGGUUGCAGUAGAUGUAUAAGAUGAGGAAGUUGUGGUGUGCUCCAUAUCUGGUGGGACGAUGUUUCCUAGUAUUGAGCAGUAAUCAAAGGAGUGAGAGCCUAAACUCUGUUAUGCAUACGCAUCUUGAUGGUAGCAUGACAUUGUUUAAAAUGGUAGAGCACUAUGAUAUUGCCUUUCGACACGAUGCCUAAAUGAGGCGGUGCUAGACAUUGUUGCCUUGCAGUCUGUUCCAUUUACAGAGGUGGAUGCUUCUAGUCUUGAGAAACAUGCUGCACAAGUUUUCACACCUGCAAUGUUUGUGCUGGUCAGAUAUUGCACAUAUGCUGUCAGGAAUUGUACCCUCAGUGGCUAGAUACUAGAUACAGACAAUUUGACCACAUUUGUUGUGGCUAAGAAGCAUAUAGGAGAGAAGUUCCAAGUGGAGUAUGAGAAAAAGGAAGGUUCUUCGGAGAGGAUUUCUUGUUCUUGCCGCAAGUUGGAAUUCUUAGGCACGCCAUGUUCCCACAUAUUUUACAUAUUGGGAUUAUUAGAAGUAAAACGACUUCCCAGUUGUUGUGUUCCUACCAGGUGGACGAUGAGUGCAAAGGCCACAUGUCCUAGGACAAGAAAGAGCUGCAUGUACAAUUAUUCGGCAAGCCUGAGGAGGUAUCGUGAACUACAGAACUUGAGUCACGAGAAAUGUUUCUCGGCAGCUCAGCGUAUGGGCAUCUAAAGUUGGUUCUAAAUGUACAAGAUGAUUGGAAGAAAUCAUCCAGUGGUCACAAGGAAUGCAUGAGGUAUGGGCCGGUUCUGCCUCAAACGGCACAACUUGAUUUUGGAGAAGGUUCUAGAUCAUGUGCAUGUGCAAGGCCGAGGUGCACCGAAGAAAAGGCUGAAGAAGAAGCGGAAGAGAACAAACUCAAAAUGCGGCUAUUGCGGGUUGGAGGGUCACAAUCGGCGUAAAUGUGCCAAGUGGAUAGAGGAAUUGGUGAUCUUUCCAAUAAGGGAGGCUGUUAUCGGAGUCUACAUAUGCUUCUUGGAUAGGGGCAUGCUUAGUUAUUGCCUCACUUUGUCUAGGACCUCAUUUUCCACAAAUUAUUUGCAUAACUUUUCUAGAAAUUUUUGUACUACAUUGUGCUGAGGUGAACAAAAAGAUAAUUCUUCUGCAGUAUAUGUAUACCUUCUUGUUCUACUGUUAACCUUUGUCUUAGUUACAAAUGUAUUGCUAGUAUGUACUAGAAAAGUUUGCAUGAAAAACAUGUAACUUUGCCUACUCCAAAA